GGCGUGCCUAAUACAUGCAAGUCGAGCGGACAGAUGGGAGCUUGCUCCCUGAUGUUAGCGGCGGACGGGUGAGUAACACGUGGGUAACCUGCCUGUAAGACUGGGAUAACUCCGGGAAACCGGGGCUAAUACCGGAUGGUUGUUUGAACCGCAUGGUUCAAACAUAAAAGGUGGCUUCGGCUACCACUUACAGAUGGACCCGCGGCGCAUUAGCUAGUUGGUGAGGUAACGGCUCACCAAGGCAACGAUGCGUAGCCGACCUGAGAGGGUGAUCGGCCACACUGGGACUGAGACACGGCCCAGACUCCUACGGGAGGCAGCAGUAGGGAAUCUUCCGCAAUGGACGAAAGUCUGACGGAGCAACGCCGCGUGAGUGAUGAAGGUUUUCGGAUCGUAAAGCUCUGUUGUUAGGGAAGAACAAGUACCGUUCGAAUAGGGCGGUACCUUGACGGUACCUAACCAGAAAGCCACGGCUAACUACGUGCCAGCA
rnacentral:rRNA from 1 species